UACAGAGGGUGCAAGCGUUGUUCGGAAUCACUGGGCGUAAAGCGCGCGCAGGCGGAUGGUUGCGUCCGGAGUGAAAUUUCGCCGCUCAACGGCGAAGCUGCUUUGGAUACGGACCGUCUAGGGACCGGUAGAGGCUGGUAGAAUUGCAGGUGUAGCGGUGGAAUGCGUAGAGAUCUGCAAGAAUACCCGUGGCGAAGGCGGCCAGCUGGGCCGGAUCCGACGCUGAGGCGCGAAAGCCAGGGGAGCGAACGGG
rnacentral:rRNA from 1 species